rnacentral:rRNA from 1 species
GAUGAACGCUGGCGGCGUGCCUAAUACAUGCAAGUCGAGCGAACAGACGAGGAGCUUGCUCCUCUGACGUUAGCGGCGGACGGGUGAGUAACACGUGGAUAACCUACCUAUAAGACUGGGAUAACUUCGGGAAACCGGAGCUAAUACCGGAUAAUAUAUUGAACCGCAUGGUUCAAUAGUGAAAGACGGUUUUGCUGUCACUUAUAGAUGGAUCCGCGCCGCAUUAGCUAGUUGGUAAGGUAACGGCUUACCAAGGCAACGAUGCGUAGCCGACCUGAGAGGGUGAUCGGCCACACUGGAACUGAGACACGGUCCCGACGCCUACGGGAGGCAGCAGUAGGGAAUCUUCCGCAAUGGGCGAAAGCCUGACGGAGCAACGCCGCGUGAGUGAUGAAGGUCUUCGGAUCGUAAAACUCUGUUAUUAGGGAAGAACAAAUGUGUAAGUAACUAUGCACGUCUUGACGGUACCUAAUCAGAAAGCCACGGCUAACUACGUG